rnacentral:rRNA from 1 species
GUGCCAGCCGCCGCGGUAAAACGUAGGUGGCGAGCGUUAUCCGGAUUUACUGGGCGUAAAGGGUGUGCAGGCGGGCUGUUAAGUGGUGUAUGAAAGGUCUCGGCUCAACCGGGAUAAGUUAUGCCAGACUGGCAGUCUAGAGAGCGAGAGAGGGACGUGGAAUUCCGGGUGUAGUGGUGAAAUGCGUAGAGAUCCGGAGGAACCCCAGAGGCGAAGGCGGCGUCCUGGCUCGCAUCUGACGCUCAGACACGACAGCAUGGGGAGCGAACGGGAUUAGAAACCCCGGUAGUCC